rnacentral:rRNA from 1 species
CAGUAGCCGCGGGAAUACGGGGGAUGCAAGUGUUAUCCGGAAUAAUUGGGCGUAAAGCGCGUCUAGGUGGUUAUGCAAGUCUGAUGUGAAAAUGCAGGGCUCAACUCUGUAUUGCGUUGGAAACUGUGUAACCAGAGUACUGGAGAGGUAAGCGGAACUACAAGUGUAGAGGUGAAAUUCGUAGAUAUUUGUAGGAAUGCCGAUGGGGAAGCCAGCUUACUGGACAGAUACUGACGCUAAAGCGCGAAAGCGUGGGUAGCAAACAGGAUUAGAUACCCCUGUAGUCCCUGUCUCUUAUACA